AACGUAGGAGACGAGCGUUAUCCGGAUUUACUGGGCGUAAAGCGUGCGCAGGCGGUUGUGCAAGACAGAUGUGAAAUCCCCGGGCUCAACCUGGGAACUGCAUUUGUGACUGCACGGCUAGAGUGUGUCAGAGGGGGGUAGAAUUCCACGUGUAGCAGUGAAAUGCGUAGAGAUGUGGAGGAACACCGAUGGCGAAGGCAGCCCCCUGGGCUAACACUGACGCUCAUGCACGAAAGCGUGGGGAGCAAACAGG
rnacentral:rRNA from 1 species